AGGCAUAGUUUAGUGGUAGAACUCCAGCUUCCCAAGCUGGUCGUGUGGGUUCGAUUCCCAUUGCCUG
rnacentral:tRNA from 1 species